rnacentral:rRNA from 1 species
UACGAAGGGUGCAAGCGUUACUCGGAAUUACUGGGCGUAAAGCGUGCGUAGGUGGUUUGUUAAGUCUGAUGUGAAAGCCCUGGGCUCAACCUGGGAAUUGCAUUGGAUACUGGCAGGCUAGAGUGCGGUAGAGGGUAGUGGAAUUCCCGGUGUAGCAGUGAAAUGCGUAGAGAUCGGGAGGAACAUCUGUGGCGAAGGCGGCGACCUGGACAGUUACUGACACUCAACUACGAAAGCGUGGGGAGCAAACAGGG